UAUUAAAAUUUUUAUCUAUUUGUACUGUUAAAAAUUAGUGUAACUGAUGAAAUAACUCGAUAGUGACAUACGGCGUAUCAUGUAUAUUUCGUGUUAACGUAUAAAGAUCAAUUUUUAAUAGUAAAAUGGUUAAAUUUUUAAUA
rfam:Gossypium hirsutum cultivar TM-1 chromosome 20, whole genome shotgun sequence